rnacentral:rRNA from 1 species
AGUGAACGCUGGCGGUAGGCCUAACACAUGCAAGUCGAACGGCAGCACAGUAAGAGCUUGCUCUUACGGGUGGCGAGUGGCGGACGGGUGAGGAAUACAUCGGAAUCUACUUUUUCGUGGGGGAUAACGUAGGGAAACUUACGCUAAUACCGCAUACGACCUACGGGUGAAAGCAGGGGAUCUUCGGACCUUGCGCGAUUGAAUGAGCCGAUGUCGGAUUAGCUAGUUGGCGGGGUAAAGGCCCACCAAGGCGACGAUCCGUAGCUGGUCUGAGAGGAUGAUCAGCCAAACUGGAACUGAGACACGGUCCAGACUCCUACGGGAGGCAGCAGUGGGGAAUAUUGGACAAUGGGCGCAAGCCUGAUCCAGCCAUACCGCGUGGGUGAAGAAGGCCUUCGGGUUGUAAAGCCCUUUUGUUGGGAAAGAAAAGCAGCAGGUUAAUACCCCGCUGUUCUGACGGUACCCAAAGAAUAAGCAACGGCUAACUUCGUG